rnacentral:rRNA from 1 species
GAUGAACGCUGGCGGCGUGCCUAAUACAUGUAAGUCGAACGGGGAGUUUGUACUUCGGUGUAAACUCUUAGUGGCGAACGGGUGAGUAACGCGUUGGUGACCUGCCCCGGAGAGUGGGAUAACAGUUCGAAAGGACUGCUAAUACCGCAUGAGGUCAUAGAGGUCAGAGGCUUUAUGACGAAAGGAGCAAUCCGCUUCGGGAGGGGCCUGCGUCCCAUCAGCUAGUUGGUAGGUAAAGGCCUACCAAGGCGAAGACGGGUAGGGGGCCUGAGAGGGUGACCCCCCACACUGGCACUGAAACACGGGCCAGACACCUACGGGUGGCAG